UGGCGGCCUUAGCGCGGUGGUCCCACCUGACCCCAUGCCGAACUCAGAAGUGAAACGCUGUAGCGCCGAUGGUAGUGUGGGGUCUCCCCAUGCGAGAGUAGGGAACUGCCAGGCA
rnacentral:rRNA from 1 species